AGCGAACGCUGGCGGCAGGCUUAACACAUGCAAGUCGAGCGGAGAUGAGGUGCUUGCACCUUAUCUUAGCGGCGGACGGGUGAGUAAUGCUUAGGAAUCUGCCUAUUAGUGGGGGACAACAUUCCGAAAGGAAUGCUAAUACCGCAUACGUCCUACGGGAGGAAGCAGGGGAUCUUCGGACCUUGCGCUAAUAGAUGAGCCUAAGUCGGAUUAGCUAGUUGGUGGGGUAAAGGCCUACCAAGGCGACGAUCUGUAGCGGGUCUGAUAGGAUGCUCAGCCACACUGGGACUGAGACACGGCCCAGACUCCUACGGGAGGCAGCAGUGGGGAAUAUUGGACAAUGGGGGGAACCCUGAUCCAGCCAUGCCGCGGGUGUGAAGAAGGCCUUAUGGUUGUAAAGCACUUUAAGCGAGGAGGAGGCUACUGAGACUAAUACUCUUGGAUAGUGGACGUUACUCGCAGAAUAAGCACCGGCUAACUCUGUGCCAGCCGCCGCGGUAACAC
rnacentral:rRNA from 1 species